CUUCUGAAAUUUUUUACCUUGCCGGAGUCGUCAACCUUAUAGAACUGCAAAAUCGCGAGCUUCAACUUCUUGUGCUUGUGCUUGUGCUUGAUCUUCUUAGGCGUGGUAUAUGUCUUCUUCUCGCGCUUCUUGGCACCACCGCGGAGACGGAGGACGAGGUGGAGAGGGCUGAAAUCCCAAAACCCGAGCCAGUCAACGUUACAACACGCUAUGGCCUUACUAAAACUCCGUCAGAGUUCCUUCCUUUCUCCGUUCUUCCUCCGCCGCUUCUGUUCCGUUCCACCGCCACCAAGUGAAUCCAACGACGCAGAAUUGGUGUCGAAUCUCCUGCUGCAGCACCACAACCCCUUCCACGCCACCGAAUCGAGCCUCCAGCUCCACGGCGUCACCCUCACCCCCGACCUCCUCUUCCAAACCCUCCUCCGCCUCAAGAACCAUUCCAAGAUAGCCCUCUCCCUCUUCCACUACGCCAAAACCCUCCCCAACCCCCCUCUCACCUACGACUCCUACACGCUCCUCAUCGAUUCUGUCGCCAAGGUUCGCCAAUUCGACGUCGCAUGGCAACUCAUCGUCGAAAUGGCCCAGCGCAACCUCCAUCCAAACCCCGCCACCUUCCUAACCCUAAUUCGCCGCCUCAUAGCGGCCGGCCUCACUCGCCAGGCGGUACGCGCCUUCCACGACAUCGACGCCUUUGCCAAAACGACUCCCGAUGACUUCUGCUUCCUGCUCGACACGCUCUGCAAGUACGGCUACGUCAGACUCGCCGUCGAGGUUUUCAACAGAAACCGAACCACUUUCCCUCCGACCGUGAAAAUGUACACGGUUUUGAUCUACGGGUGGUGCAAACUGGGGAAGGUUAAAAUCGCGCAAACGUUUCUGAACGAAAUGAUUGAGCGAGGGAUUGAGCCUAAUGUUGUUACUUAUAACGUUUUGUUGAAUGGGGUUUGUAGGAAGGUGAGUUUGCACCCUGAGGAGAGGUUUGAGAGGACUAUAAGGAACUCAGAGGAGGUGUUUGAUCAAAUGCGCAAGAGUAGGAUUGAGCCGGAUGUGACUAGCUUUUCGAUUUUGCUUCAUGUUUAUAGCCGCGCGCAUAAGCCGGAGUUGGUGCUUGAUAAGCUGAGGUUGAUGAAGGUGAAAGGGAUUUUUCCCAAUGUGGUGAUGUAUACCUCGGUUAUCAAGUGUCUUGCUUCGUGUGGGAGGCUUGAGGAUGCAGAGAGGUUGCUUGAGGAGAUGGUGAAGGAUGGAGUGAGUCCAUGUGCCGCAACGUACAAUUGCUUCUUCAAGGAGUACAGAGGAAGGAAGGAUGCUGAGAGUGCGUUGAGGAUGCUCAAGAGGAUGAAGGAGGAUGGGUUCUGUGCGCCGAGCUCGCACACCUAUGUGAUUUUGAUUAGGAUGUUUUUGAGGUUGGGCAAGAUCAGAGUUGUGAAGGAAAUAUGGGAUGAUAUGAAGGUCACUGGGGCGGGGCCGGAUUUAGAUUUGUACACGGCUUUGGUACAUGGGCUGUGUGAGAGGCAGAACUGGAGGGAGGCUUGCCAUUAUUUUGUUGAGAUGAUAGAGAAUGGGUUUCUUCCUCUGAAAGGUACCUUUGAGACCCUUUACAGGGGGCUAAUUCAGGCUGAUAUGUUGAGGACUUGGAGGAGAUUGAAGAAGAAGCUUGAUGAAGAAUCGAUAGCUUUUGGUUCAGAGUUUCAGAGUUACCACUUGAAACCUUAUAGGAGAUAAGUUAUUACAUGCACAGUACUCUUGAGACUUUUAUAGGUUCUUUGGCCCAAUUUAUCUUUUUGCAUCUACAAGAUUUCAACAAGACUUUGAUGACUUGAGAUAUGAGUGAGACUAUCAUUUUAUCUCCAAUAUUUUUGUUAGGUAUUAGAAGAAGUAAAGAGAAUGACAGACAUAGGGUGGGUUCCCAAUAUCAGCCAUGAGCCUUGUGGGGUACCUUAAAAACUUGACCUUAGUUGUGUGCAUGGGAAGGUUGGGAAGCCUGGAGUUAGCUGGAGGCUCUUUGGCCAUAGGUUUCUCCAACAUAACUGGUUACUCUGUCCUCUCAGGUCUAGCCAUGGGCAUGGAACCCCUUUGCACCCAAGCCUUCGGUCCUAGAAACUUCUCCUUGCUCUCUCUAACUCUGCACAGAACAAUUCAUAUGUUACUUCUAUUUUCUCUUCCCAUUUCUCUUCUGUGGCUCAACCUCCAACCUCUCAUGCUUUUCCUUCGUCAGAAUCCAGACAUAACACAUGUAGCAACCCUCUAUUGCCGCUUCGCCAUCCCAGACCUCAUACCACCCUCUUCGCAUCUAUCUACGCAGCAAAGGAACAACUUGGCCACUGCUGUGGUGCACUUUACUUUCCAUUUUUCUACACCUCUCCACCAUCACCUUUCUAACCAUCAAACUCCACCUUGGCUUGCUGGGAAUCGCUGUUUCAUCCUUUGUUGCCAAUUUCAGAAACCUUUUCUUCCUUCUUCUGUACAUGUUCUAUACACGCGUUCCCGAGGAAUCCUUACAGUGGGCCAGCUGGAUUGACUCCUCUUCAUGUUGCAGCAACUAUGAGUGGCUCAGAGAAUGUGUUGGAUGCAUUAACUGAUGAUCCAGGAAUGGUAAGUCUGUCUCUAUUCUGUAACUUCAUGUUUUCUCAUGCUUUUUGCAUUGUACUACUUCAAACUACGGGGGCAAAGGGGAAAUGACUACAAGGAAAAACUAGUGUUUCUCCUCCUUUUCACCUGACUUUUGGUCCAGUGAAUGAAUGUGUGGAUAGAAUGGGAAGAGAAAUGAGGUGAUCCUUGAGUUCAAUAUAAUGGUUUCUAGUGGGUGCACUCA